AACGAACGCUGGCGGCAUGCCUAACACAUGCAAGUCGAACGAGACCUUCGGGUCUAGUGGCGCACGGGUGCGUAACGCGUGGGAACCUGCCCUUAGGUUCGGAAUAACUCCCCGAAAGGGGUGCUAAUACCGGAUAAUGUCUUCGGACCAAAGAUUUAUCGCCUUUGGAUGGGCCCGCGUUGGAUUAGCUAGUUGGUAGGGUAAAAGCCUACCAAGGCGACGAUCCAUAGCUGGUCUGAGAGGAUGAUCAGCCACACUGGGACUGAGACACGGCCCAGACUCCUACGGGAGGCAGCAGUGGGGAAUAUUGGACAAUGGGCGAAAGCCUGAUCCAGCAAUGCCGCGUAAGUGAUGAAGGCCUUAAGGUUGUAAAGCUCGUUUACCCGGGAUGAUAAUGACAGUACCGGGAGAAUAAGCUCCGGCUAACUCCGUG
rnacentral:rRNA from 1 species